rnacentral:misc_RNA from 1 species
GUGAGAAUUCGUCACCGCCGAGGAGUAUUGGGAGCUGUGCAGUGUAUGAUAUUAAAAACGAUGUGUAUAAUCGUCUUGUAGAAACUGGAAAUCCUGAGGCAGUUACUAAUCCGGAGCUGCUUCGUGAACACUUGGAUUCUCACUUUGCUCGCUUGCCUGUUAGUUAUGGGUUGGAUAUUAAUGUGGAUAAAGCGGAAGAUGUG